rnacentral:rRNA from 1 species
CCAGACUCCUACGGGAGGCAGCAGUGGGGAAUAUUGCACAAUGGGGGGAACCCUGAUGCAGCGACGCCGCGUGAAGGAAGAAGUAUCUCGGUAUGUAAACUUCUAUCAGCAGGGAAGAAAGAAGACGGUACCUGACUAAGAAGCCCCGGCUAACUACGUGCCAGCAGCCGCGGUAAUACGUAGGGGGCGAGCGUUAUCCGGAUUUACUGGGUGUAAAGGGAGCGUAGACGGCGACGCAAGUCUGGAGUGAAAGCCCGGGGCCCAACCCCGGGACUGCUCUGGAAACUGCGUCGCUGGAGUGCCGGAGGGGUAAGCGGAAUUCCUGGUGUAGCGGUGAAAUGCGUAGAUAUCAGGAGGAACACCGGUGGCGAAGGCGGCCUGCUGGACUGCAACUGACGUUGAGGCCCGAAAGCGUGGGGAGCAAACAGGAUUAGAUACCCGAGUAGG